rnacentral:rRNA from 1 species
GAUGAACGCUGGCGGCGUGCCUAAUACAUGCAAGUCGAGCGAACAGACGAGGAGCUUGCUCCUCUGACGUUAGCGGCGGACGGGUGAGUAACACGUGGAUAACCUACCUAUAAGACUGGGAUAACUUCGGGAAACCGGAGCUAAUACCGGAUAAUAUAUUGAACCGCAUGGUUCAAUAGUGAAAGACGGUUUUGCUGUCACUUAUAGAUGGAUCCGCGCCGCAUUAGCUAGUUGGUAAGGUAACGGCUUACCAAGGCAACGAUGCGUAGCCGACCUGAGAGGGGGAUCGGCCACACUGGAACUGAGACACGGUCCAGACUCCUACGGGAGGCAGCAGAAGGGAAUCUUCCGCAAGGGGCGAAAGCCUGACGAGGAAACGCCGCGUGAGUGAUGAAGGUCUUCGGAUCGUAAAACUCUGUUAUUAGGAAAGAACAAAGGUGUAAGUAACUAUGCACGUCUUGACGGUACCAAAUCAGAAAGCAACGGCUAACUACGU